GUGUUAACUGCUGAAUUCCCAGCAUCUAGGGCAGCUGGGGACCUGGUGAGGAUUCCUAGCUGCUGUUCAAAUGUCUACCAGGAGAAUGCCCUCUGGGUGGGGAGGACAGCCUGGGUCCAGCCAGGUGUGUGUUCAGCCAGCAGAUGGGGAGUGCAGGGGUCUGCUGGGAGCAUCUGUCCGCUGCCCCACUCUCUGCAGCCCCUCGAUGCAUGCUCACCUGCUCCUCCAAGCCCCUUCUUCCUGGCCGGCCUGGCUCUGCGCCGAUCGAAGCCAUCUAUAAACAUCAGGGGAAGGAGCUAUGCGACCAGGGGCUUGAGCUGAAAACAACUCGCAGGGAGAGAACAAAGCGCCCAAAUAAAUCACCCGGGGCCCGACAUUUGGAGCGUUUGCGUUGGAGACCAAACACAGAUGCCCUUUAGAUAAAUACAUUUUUGAGAAGCGUUCCGCAGGAGAACUUUAUGACUUUAAUAGGUUUUUGGUGUCAGACAAGCAUCAGGAAGUGUUUUGUGGAGAGAGUUUCUCUAAAAAGCACAGAAACAUUCUUCUCCCUCUGGCCCUUUAAACAUAAGGAUAUGAUGAUCCCAGCAAGGGGAGGGGCUUCCUUUUCCAGGUUCCCUUGGGAUUUGCCCAGGGCUGGGAUUGCUCAGCUGAGAAUGUUCUGGAAGGUUUGGAAGACCUCAGUGCUCCAGGCCAGCAGGGGGUGGGGGAUCAGGGAUGGGAGGGUCUCUCCGGAACCUGAUUUAGAAGCUUAGAAGCAUCCUGCUUACCCAGAGCAACUCCCCUCCCCUCCCAGCUGUGCCCCGCCCAGAUCCCCAGAGGAGCCUGGGCCUGCUGUCCUAGGGGAUAAGAAGGGCUCUGCGUGGAGGACGUUGGUCCUGCUGAGGCUUCCAGAGGUUGGCAAUUUUCUGUAGUUUGGAUACUCUACAAAGUUCCCCAGGAUGAAGCCCAGGAGUGGGAGCUGAGCUCACCGUGGGCUCUGAGCCAGAGAGAGGAGACACUAGGAGAAGGACCCCCACCGAAGGCUGCAGAAAGGUUCCAGGCCUCCAUGUUGAUGGCAGAAGUGGCGAGGCAGCUCACCCUCCGCCCUGCUGAUUUCUGUGCACAUUUGGGAUGACGUUUUCAACAGCUCCAGCGCUGGAGCCAAGAGACAGUUGGCCUCAGGUUUCCACCUCAGGGCCCAAACUCACCUCCUCAGCCCGAGACUCGCCCAGAACCUCAUCAGGAGACCACCUAACGGAAGGAUGAGAAUAGUUGGAGGAUUUUCUGAAGUCUUUCUCUUGCCUCAUAGUUUAUUUCCUUGCAGAAUCCAGCCCUUCAGAUGCAGCUGAUGUCUUAGCCACCACACACAGCAACCUUUUCUGUCUUCACAGUUGUGUCUCUGAAGCAACUUCCAACUAAAUAAAAGCAGCUCCGUAAAGGACGCGUCA